GUGUCAAUAUGAUUUUCCUUUAAAGGAAAGAUUGGUCAAUGUUAUGUCUUGUAUUUUUACAUGUGAGAAGCUAUAAUUGUUUAUUUGAAUACAAACAUCUACUGUGUUCAUUACCUCUGAGUAUAUAUAUAUAAAGCCCCUGUUGACUGUUGUUUUUGUGACUGGGUGGUCAGUUUAGUGUAAGUGUCUGUCUAUAAAUUGCAUUUGUUCAACAUGUAACAACUCUGUGACGGUGUGUAUUAGAUAUAUUUUGUUUUUGUCAUAAUUAUUGGUGCAGUUUUAGUCAGAGCUAAGGUGAAAGCUUUUUUUAGCUAAGGGGAAAAUGUGUGAAUACCUGCUCAAUUAUAAACUCAAUAUUUAAUGUAUAACCAUCAUAUUUCUUUUUUAUAUAAGAAAAACAGUCUGUAGGCCUAUGAAAACCGGUUAAUUUAUUAUGGAAGAGAGAUAACUCUUAUUGUUAGCUGUGAUUAAUGAUUAUUAUAAUUUAAUUAAAUAAAUGUAGAUCUGUAAAAUAUGCUUUCUGCAUUUCAGAUGGUAGAUUAAAUUUCUUUAAGAAAAUAAUAAAAGUUUAAGAUAGUCACUUUAGCAGAUUUAUUCCAGAUGGGUGGUGAACUUGUAUAUUUUUAAAUUCAUCGAGGGCUAAUGAAGGUUAAUAAAUAAACAUCUGUCUCAAAUUUAACAGAGUUCCUUAAGGUCCUUAAUUUGUUGAAACCUGAUCAUACAAUUGAAAUCCCUGAACAACCAUAUAUUGACUGAACUAUUGGAAAAUCCAUAGUUAUAAAAUUGAUAUUUAAUCCAUUUGACCGGUAGUUUAGACACAUUAUAUUUUUUUCUUUAACCAAAGUCAAGGUAUAUACACAAUGUGAAACUUUACAAGCAAUGAGUGAAUUUGUUGCUUUGUAUUUGGAUAUUUCUUCCAUGUGAAACAAAAGAGUUCUCGGUUCAAAAAUAAAUUUUUCUAAAAGUUUU
rnacentral:sRNA from 1 species